UACAGAGGUCUCAAGCGUUUGUUCGGAUUCAUUGGGCGUAAAGGGUGCGUAGGCGGCGCGGUAAGUCGGGUGUGAAAUCUCGGAGCUUAACUCCGAAACUGCAUUCGAUACUGCCGUGCUCGAGGACUGGAGAGGAGACUGGAAUUUACGGUGUAGCGGUGAAAUGCGUAGAUAUCUGGAGGAACACCGGUGGCGAAGGCGGCAUCCUGGACCAACACUGACGCUGAGUGAGCGAAAGCCAGGGGAGCAAACGGG
rnacentral:rRNA from 1 species